CUUAGAUAUUGGUGUUGCUAUGCUGCCUAGGACCAGCGCUGGUACGGUGGGGCGCUUGCUUCAGAGUGGGCUGCAGGGCAAAGCUGCUCACCGGGGACGGUAUCACCUCCACUAUUACUGGUGUGUCGACAGGCUUAAGAAUCGGUGAUGUCCGUUCACGUGGUGUCUGUUGCCGCUGGUGCGGUGUAUGCCGCUUUACUCUCCGCCAUUUUGGUGCUUUCCUAACUACUGGAGCCCCGGGCUGCCGCUGGGCGAGAAUCCGCCUGAGAGGUG